ensembl:lncRNA
CUCCACCAUUUGACCAGGAGAAGAAUGUAGCAAAGCUAGCAAAGCUAGCAGAGCUAGCGGACCACCAAAGGACGGGACGCCUCGGAGAGGGGGGGGGCGCGUCGUUAGGAGCCCAUGCCCCCAACCCCCCCCCCCAGCGUCCUUCUCGCGCUCAGCUGCCAGGGUCCCAGCAGGACGUCCCGGGGAGGACGCAAGGAAUCAAACGGCCGCCGGUGAAGAACCUUGACCGUGAGCUGAGAGGAUGAAGAUGAAGAUGGUGAAGAUGAAGAUGAUGAAUAUGAGGGAGAAGACGGGGAAAUGAAGAUGAUGAAGUGUGAAAGCAGCAGCACCGUGUUGACUCAGACUGUGGAGAAUCCUCAGGCCUUCAGGUUAAAGGUCGAUGUUCUUCCUUGACUGGGACUCUUCAUCCAAUCCAAACUCACAAACACAACAAACCACACAACUGUCUGCAGAGCGGAUGAGUGACGGGAGGGGCUGGCUGCUUCCAGGGGGGUCAGCUGGUCCAGAAGGAAAGAAAGGCCUGCUCCCAGUCCCCGAGCACCCCAAGGGUCAACAGGACCCCACACCCUCGACACGAACCCCGCCCAGACCCAAUCGGACCUCCGCAUGCUGCUCGGUAAUCACCUGGGCUGGACCUCAGUGUAACAGAUCCCAGGUUCUCUGCAGGAGGGAGGUCAGCUUCUACAUGAUGCAGUAAGAGACCAGAUAGAGACCAGAUAUGGGCCCCAUAGAGAGCAGAUAGAGGCCCAAUAUAGGCCAGAUAAAGACCAGAUAGAGAAAAGAUAGAGACCAGCUAGAGGCCUGAUAGAGACCAUAUAGAGACCAGAUAGAGGGAUGGCCAAGACCUGAUAGAGACCAGAUAGAGGCCGAAUAGAGACCUUAUAGACACCAGAUAAAGGCCUGAUAGAGAAAAGAUAGAGACCCAAUAGAGACCAGAUAGAGGCCUGAGAGAGACCUGUUAGAGACCAGAUAGAGGCCAGAUAAAGGCCUGAUAGAGACCAGAUAAAGACCCAACAUACAUAUACCCCCAAAAGCGGUAUUAAGAUUAGAGGGAAUUGCAGUUUGAGUUCAGUUUCCACAACUCGUGAUGUAUAUGUAUUUAUAUAUGUAUGUAUAAACCUGUAUUUAUAUAAGUAGAUAUACAUGCAUAUUUAUAUACACACACAUUCAGUGUACCAAGCUGCUCUCAGAGGUGAAGAGGUUGUGAGGCCUGAAAGAGUUCAUUUAAAACUAAAUUUACGAUCUGAACUUCGUCUCCGUCUCGUUUUACCGCCGAGCGUCCCGUCAGCGGGAUCCACCCAACCCGCCCGAGCAGGUGUCUCCAUCUUGUUUUUCUUUCAAAUGGCAGAGAUCUCAUCUUCAUUCGGGG